rnacentral:rRNA from 1 species
GAUGAAUGCUGGCGGCGUGCCUAAUACAUGCAAGUCGAGCGAACGGACGAGAAGCUUGCUUCUCUGAUGUUAGCGGCGGACGGGUGAGUAACACGUGGAUAACCUACCUAUAAGACUGGGAUAACUUCGGGAAACCGGAGCUAAUACCGGAUGAUAUUUUGAACCGCAUGGUUCAAAAGUGAAAGACGGUCUUGCUGUCACUUAUAGAUGGAUCCGCGCUGCAUUAGCUAGUUGGUAAGGUAACGGCUUACCAAGGCAACGAUGCAUAGCCGACCUGAGAGGGUGAUCGGCCACACUGGAACUGAGACACGGUCCAGACUCCUACGGGAGGCAGCAGUAGGGAAUCUUCCGCAAUGGGCGAAAGCCUGACGGAGCAACGCCGCGUGAGUGAUGAAGGUCUUCGGAUCGUAAAACUCCGUUAUUAGGGAAGAACAUAUGUGUAAGUAACUGUGCACAUCUUGACGGUACCUAAUCAGAAAGCCACGGCUAACUACGUG